rnacentral:rRNA from 1 species
GAGUUUGAUCAUGGCUCAGGACGAACGCUGGCGGCGUGCUUAACACAUGCAAGUCAAGGGGGCCCAGCAAUGGGCAACCGGCGAACGGGUGCGUAACACGUGAGCAACCUACCGAACUGUGGGGGAUAGCCGGCCUAACGGCCGAGUAAUACCGCAUACGCUUUCGAUGAGGCAUUUCAUUGAAAGGAAACCUACGGGACAGAUCGAGGGGCUCGCGGCCUAUCAGCUAGUUGGCGAGGUAACGGCUCACCAAGGCGACGACGGGUAGCUGGUCUGAGAGGAUGGCCAGCCACAUUGGGACUGAGAUACGGCCCAGACUCCUACGGGAGGCAGCAGUGGGGAAUCUUGCGCAAUGGCCUAACGGCUGACGCAGCGACGCCGCGUGUGGGAUGAAGCUCCUCGGAGUGUAAACCACUGUUGCCCGGGACGAAUAGCUCGAUUAAUCGAGCCUGACGGUACCGGGUGAGGAAGCACCGGCUAACUCCGUGCCAGCAGCCGCGGUA